rnacentral:rRNA from 1 species
CGGGACGGGUGAGUAACACGUAGAGAACCUACCUUACACAGGGGGACAACGGCUGGAAACGGCUGCUAAUACGCAUAAGCACCCAGUUUCGCAUGAACAGAGUGAAAAGAGUAAAUCGGUGUAAGAUGGCUCUGCGUCUGAUUAGCUAGUUGGUGGGGUAAAGGCUCACCAAGGCGACGAUCAGUAGCCGGCCUGAGAGGGCGACCGGCCACAUUGGGACUGAGACACGGCCCAGACUCCUACGGGAGGCAGCAG